rnacentral:rRNA from 1 species
UGAGGAAUAUUGGGCAAUGGGCGAAAGCCUGACCCAGCCACGCCGCGUGUGUGAUGAAGGCCUUCGGGUCGUAAAGCACUGUGGGGAGGGACGAAAACGCGCAGGAGGAAAUGCCUGCGUCUUGACGGUACCUCCUUAGCAAGCACCGGCUAACUCUGUG